UACAGCGGUCUCAAGCGUUGUUCGGAUUCAUUGGGCGUAAAGGGUGUGUAGGUGGCGCCGUAAGUCGGGUGUGAAAUCUCGGGGCUUAACUCCGAAACUGCAUUCGAUACUGCGGUGCUUGAGGACUGGAGAGGAGACUGGAAUUCAUGGUGUAGCAGUGAAAUGCGUAGAGAUCAUGAGGAAGACCAGUGGCGAAGGCGGGUCUCUGGACAGUUCCUGACACUGAGGCACGAAGGCCAGGGGAGCAAACGGG
rnacentral:rRNA from 1 species